rnacentral:rRNA from 1 species
UCUUGGUCAUUUAGAGGAAGUAAAAGUCGUAACAAGGUCUCCGUUGGUGAACCAGCGGAGGGAUCAUUACCGAGUUUACAACUCCCAAACCCAUGUGAACAUACCUACUGUUGCUUCGGCGGGAUUGCCCCGGGCGCCUCGUGCGCCCCGGAUCAGGCGCCCGCCUAGGAACCUUAACUCUUGUUUUAUUUUGAAUCUUCUGAGUAGUUUUUACAAAUAAAUAAAAACUUUCAACAACGGAUCUCUUGGUUCUGGCAUCGAUGAAGAACGCAGCGAAAUGCGAUAAGUAAUGUGAAUUGCAGAAUUCAGUGAAUCAUCGAAUCUUUGAACGCACAUUGCGCCCGCCAGUAUUCUGGCGGGCAUGCCUGUCUGAGCGUCAUUUCAACCCUCACGCCCCUAGGGCGUGGUGUUGGGGAUCGGCCAAAGCCCGCGAGGGAUGGCCGGCCCCUAAAUCUAGUGGCGGACCCGUCGUGGCCUCCUCUGCGAAGUAGUGAUAUUCCGCAUCGGAGAGCGACGAGCCCCUGCCGUUAAACCCCCAACUUCCAAGGUGACCUCAGAUCAGGUAG